CACACUCUACAUAGAUGAAAAGCUUAAGAUAGUGUCAAAGGCAAAAAACUUGCUAGACUAGGACUUCUCAAAGAAGAGAGAAUUCAGGUUGGACCGUAGAUGCUACUAACAAAUAUCUGAAGGUGUAUCCUGGAAAUAAAUAGAAUUCCUCUGAGGCCAAAGAUGAGAUAAAUGUCUGUUUCAAACGGAGAAAGCAGAAGAGAAAAGACCUCACUUAAGUGGAGUGUAAGCCAACAGACAGCUCUGAGAAUAAAGGGUCUUUGUUCCUUGUAUAUUUUAUUGAAAAGAUACAAAAUUGCCUUUAUCUCAGGGUGACAUUGGCCUUGAACAUGGAAACAGAGUUUGCUCUUUCAGAGCAACCAACAAAGAAGUAUUUCAUCUUAACAUUAUUUGUUUCAACCUGAAGAUGACAGUUUAAUUCCUAUCACCCACAUGGCAGCUCGGAGCUGUCCGGAACUGCAGACCCCGGAGAUUUGGCUGUCUCUUCUGGCUUUUAUAUAUAAAAGGCACUUACAUACAUACCGGCAGGCAAAGCAACCAUACAUGUAAAGGGAGAAUAAGAAGUGACCAACAUGGCUGAGAGAUUAAGAGGGAUGCUGGCCAGAGAUAAAGCAAGAGGAGGAGGCAGCAGUCUAAAUCCUUCCCAAGGACCUUGAAGAACAACAAACUGGAGGAAGUGUGGUCGAGUCGUAGUCUAGAGAGAUCAUUCCAAGGUUAGAGCUGUGAAGACAAGAGACAGUGGGGAAAUACCUGGAGGAAUCAAUGGCAAGCCAAAGUGGAAGACAUACUGUCAUCUAGGAUGCAACUGUGAACAUGAGUGGAAGCAUGUAUACAUUUUGGAGACAGAGCCAAGGGAUUGGGGGGAUGACAGUGAUUGGUAAGGGUAUCAUCAAGGUGAAUAACAUGGCUUUGGUUUGAGCAAUAACUUUGAAAUAAAACGGAAACAGUGAGAAAAUUUAAGAAAAG